rnacentral:rRNA from 1 species
GAUGAACGCUGGCGGCGUGCCUAAUACAUGCAAGUCGAGCGAACGGACGAGAAGCUUGCUUCUCUGAUGUUAGCGGCGGACGGGUGAGUAACACGUGGAUAACCUACCUAUAAGACUGGGAUAACUUCGGGAAACCGGAGCUAAUACCGGAUGAUAUUUUGAACCGCAUGGUUCAAAAGUGAAAGACGGUCUUGCUGUCACUUAUAGAUGGAUCCGCGCUGCAUUAGCUAGUUGGUAAGGUAACGGCUUACCAAGGCAACGAUGCAUAGCCGACCUGAGAGGGUGGUAGGCCACACUGGAACUGAGACGCGGUCCAGACUCCUACGGGAGGCAGCAGAAGGGAAUCUUCCGCAAUGGGCGAGAGCCUGACGGAGCAACGCCGCGUGAGUGAUGGAAGUCUUCGGAUCGUAAAGCUCUGUUAUUAGGGAAGAACAUAUGUGUAAGUAACUGUGCACAUCUUGACGGUACCUAAUCAGAAAGCCACGGCUAACUACGUG